CAAAUUUGAAAUCUGGCCUCUUUGGGGUCCGAGUUGUAAUUUGGAGAGGAUGUUUCGGGCACGGUCCGGGCUUAAAUUUCUUGGAACAGAAUGUCACAGAGGGUGAGAAUCCCGUCUGGAGUCCGCGACACGACCUAUGUGAAACUCCUUCGACGAGUCGAGUUGUUUGGGAAUGCAGCUCUAAAUGGGUGGUAAAUUUCAUCUAAAGCUAAAUAUUGGCCAGAGACCGAUAGCGCACAAGUAGAGUGAUCGAAAGAUGAAAAGCACUUUGAAAAGAGAGUUAAACAGUACGUGAAAUUGUUGAAAGGGAAGCGCAGGCAACCAGACUUGCGCGUCGGGGUUCCCCCUUGCUUCUGCCUGGGUUACUCCCCGGCGUUCAGGCCAACAUCGGUUUCGGGGGUUGGUUAAAGACCCUGGGAAUGUAUCUACCCUGCGGGGUAGACUUAUAGCCCAGGGUGUCAUGCGACCUCCCGGGACCGAGGAACGCGCUUCGGCUCGGAUGUUGGCGUAAUGGUUGUCUGCGGCCCGUCUUGAAACACGGACCAAGGAGUCUAACAUCUAUGCGAGUGUUAGGGUGUCAAACCCUUACGCGGAAUGAAAGUGAACGGAGGUAGGAAGCCUUAAGGCUGCACUAUCGACCGAUCCUGAAGUUUACGGAUGGAUUUGAGUAAGAGCAUAGCUGUUGGGACCCGAAAGAUGGUGAAC
rnacentral:rRNA from 1 species